GACGGAGGAUGCAAGCGUUAUCCGGAAUUAUUGGGCGUAAAGCGUCCGCAGGUGGCUGUUCAAGUCUGCUGUCAAAGCGCAGAGCUUAACUCUGUACAGGCGGUGGAAACUGAAGAGCUAGAGUAUGGUAGGGGUAGAGGGAAUUCCCGGUGUAGCGGUGAAAUGCGUAGAUAUCGGGAAGAACACCAGUGGCGAAAGCACUCUGCUGGGCCGACACUGACACUGAGAGACGAAAGCUAGGGGAGCAAAUGGG
rnacentral:rRNA from 1 species